rnacentral:rRNA from 1 species
CUACGGGAUGCACCAGUAAGGAAUAUUGCGCAAUGGAGGCAACUCUGACGCAGCCAUGCCGCGUGCAGGAAGAAGGCCUUAUGGGUCGUAAACUGCUUUUAUUUAGGAAUAAACCCCCGAACGUGUUCGGGGCUGAAGGUACUAAACGAAUAAGCACCGGCUAACUCCGUGCCAGCAGCCGCGGUAAUACGGAGGGUGCAAGCGUUAUCCGGAUUUAUUGGGUUUAAAGGGUGCGCGGGCGGGCUAUUAAGUCAGUGGUGAAAUCCCGGGGCUCAACUCCGGAACUGCCAUUGAUACUGAUAGUCUUGAGUUUGGUUGAAGUGGGUGGAAUGUAGCAUGUAGCGGUGAAAUGCAUAGAUAUGCUACAGAACACCAAUCGCGAAGGCAGCUCACUAAGCCAAAACUGACGCUCAUGCACGAAAGCGUGGGGAUCAAACAGGAUUAGAUACCCCCGUAGUC